rnacentral:rRNA from 1 species
AUUGAACGCUGGCGGCAGGCCUAACACAUGCAAGUCGAAUGGUAACAGGAAACAGCUUGCUGUUUCGCUGACGAGUGGCGGACGGGUGAGUAAUGUCUGGGAAACUGCCUGAUGGAGGGGGAUAACUACUGGAAACGGUAGCUAAUACCGCAUAACGUCGCAAGACCAAAGAGGGGGACCUUCGGGCCUCUUGCCAUCAGAUGUGCCCAGAUGGGAUUAGCUAGUAGGUGGGGUAACGGCUCACCUAGGCGACGAUCCCUAGCUGGUCUGAGAGGAUGACCAGCCACACUGGAACUGAGACACGGUCCAGACUCCUACGGGAGGCAGCAGUGGGGAAUAUUGCACAAUGGGCGCAAGCCUGAUGCAGCCAUGCCGCGUGUAUGAAGAAGGCCUUCGGGUUGUAAAGCACUUUCAGCGGGGAGGAAGGGAGUAAAGUUAAUACCUUUGCUCAUUGACGUUACCCGCAGAAGAAGCACCGGCUAACUCCGUG